CACGUAGGGUGCGAGCGUUGUCCGGAAUUAUUGGGCGUAAAGAGCUCGUAGGCGGUGUGUCGCGUCGGCCGUGAAAACCUGUGGCUUAACCAUGGGCUUGCGGUCGAUACGGGCAUCACUGGAGUUCGGCAGGGGAGACUGGAAUUCCUGGUGUAGCGGUGAAAUGCGCAGAUAUCAGGAGGAACACCGGGUGGCGAAGGCGGGUCUCUGGGCCGA
rnacentral:rRNA from 1 species